rnacentral:rRNA from 1 species
CCUACGGGAGGCAGCAGUGAGGAAUAUUGGUCAAUGGGCGUAAGCCUGAACCAGCCAAGUCGCGUGAGGGAUGAAGGUUCUAUGGAUCGUAAACCUCUUUUAUAAGGGAAUAAAGUGCGGGACGUGUCCCGUUUUGUAUGUACCUUAUGAAUAAGGAUCGGCUAACUCCGUGCCAGCAGCCGCGGUAAUACGGAGGAUCCGAGCGUUAUCCGGAUUUAUUGGGUUUAAAGGGUGCGUAGGCGGCCUUUUAAGUCAGCGGGGAAAUGCUGUGGCUCAACCAUAGAAUUGCCGUUGAAACUGGGAGGCUUGAGGAUGUUUGAGGCAGGCGGAAUGCGUGGUGUAGCGGUGAAAGGCUUAGAUAUCACGCAGAACCCCGAUUGCGAAGGCAGCCGGCCAAGCCAUGACUGACGCUGAUGCACGAAAGCGUGGGGAUCAAACAGGAUUAGAUACCCUUGUAGGC